AUGGGGAAACAGGAGGACACAGUGAGAGGUCGUGGGCGGGUUGGCUGGACAACCAUCCUGAGUAAAAGUGAAUCUUUCCACGCGUGACACGACACUUUGCUUCUUGUGAGUCAAUACCUGCUCCUUGUACUGGUCAGCGUGACGGCGCUCAUCCUCCACCUGCAUCAUCACCUCCUUCAGCUUCUUCUCCGUACGACGGACGAUCUUGUUGGCUGCUGCUCUCUCCCUGCAAAUUAAAAUUGGAAACAUAAGCACUGUUGGCGAUCUCAUCAGCCAGCUCAUCCCUCUCCUGUUCAGCAUGUCGGCGGGCCCUCUCUGACGCUGCGUGGUCCUACACAAACAACACAGACAACACGUUAGUGUUAGUAUAGAGAAGAUCUUGUAUGAGCUUCAAUCCCAUUCUUGUUCAUCAAAUAAGGGAAUGAAGUUUGAUAAAAAGUUUGAUAUUCAUUCUUUCCAUAAGUCACUUUGCUUGUCAUAAAUAAAAAAAAGACAUUAACAGCU